UCCCUCCAUUGUUUCGUCAACCACCUCCAGACCCUCGAUCACUCUCGCCAUUAUCUUCGAACACUCGAUCUGAAGGUGGAGGAGGUAUUUAGCGCUGCCGAUGCCGUUCGAUUCAUGACAGAGAUCAGUACUUUUGGUGGUAUUUUUUUUUUUAAUCUUCUCGCAAUAGAGAUGAAGAGAGAAGUGCUAUGGAUGGAGUGGACACGCAGCAUGGCAGAUAGUCUCACGAGUAGAACGGACCAUGUGGCAAAUGAAAGUGACUGAUAUCUUCAUUUUAAUAUAUAUAUAUAUAUAUAGAGAGAGAGAAAGAGAGAG
rnacentral:lncRNA from 1 species